CUACCUUGCUAUGACUUUUGAGAUGUUACUCAGAUGGGUUAGUCGAAACUAAUUAGACCUAAAAAAAGCAGUUAAUUGCCUAUUCAAAAUAUAAUAAAAAUUAUAAAAUAAAGAAUAACUACACUAACUAUUCAAAUAAAUGAAUAAUCAAAUCAAUUUUCUAUCGUUUAAUUUAUUAAUUAAAAUAAAGAAACAAACAGAAAGAGAUAUAUAAAUAAUAAACCAAUAUAUUAUUACUUAGAAUGUGUGACCUUUUUUAAAAUCUACUUCGCGGCGCUUUCCCCCAAGCUGAACUUCUCCCCAGCGACAGACGGUU
rnacentral:rRNA from 1 species